rnacentral:lncRNA from 1 species
GCACGAGUAGAGUGAAAGAAACCAUUACCUCUCUCGGAAUCCUUUAGCUUCGUUUGUCUUCUGCCACUCCACAUCUGUCACCACCGCAAGGAGGAACAAACUUGCGUUUUCCUCAAGCUAUCCCCACCACGAGAAAGAGAAUCCAAUAGCAGUCUUUUUCUUUAUUUAUUCCCUUCUUUACGUCUGUUGCGGGCUUGCGUCAGUCUCGCCCUAUUGUCACACACCAACGCCAUUAAAGCUAUGGUAUAGAGAGGGGUAUAGAUCAAGGAAGAAGAAGAGGAGGAUGCUGAGAAGGGAUGCUCCGCUAGAGAUGCUCAGCAACAAGGCAAAGGUAUUCAUUUACUCACCACCGUAAGCUUAGCUGAUGCUUUUUGAUUUCAAGAUGGCUGAUGGAACUAACAGAGAAGAGAAUGCUUCUGAUGUUGCUGCUGUGCAGGAAGGAAGACCAACAACAACAACAAGAACAGGAGGAAGUUGUUGGAAGUGCAGCAAGCCAUUUUGGCCAACAUGUCUCAAGCUCAUCAAGAAUUCAGGGACGAGCUGGUUGGAUCCGGAGAUCGUGUUCAAAUUGGCAUGUGAGGUAUUGGAAAAGUCGGUAGUUUACAAUAAAAAAAUCGAAUUAAAAUGAAUAUAAUAAAUAUCGACUAUAGAUUCAGACAUCUUUAUCCUCGACGAUGUGUGAAAAAAGAUUUAAUAAAAAAAUUAAUAUAUAUAAAGAUGAAGAUUUUAAUUUUUUUAUCAAAUAUUAUAAUGAUUAUCUUGGAGUACAAAGUGUGUCUAUCAACAAACAAAAUUUGUUGAACAUCUUGAUUGAUAUGUUAUCUCUCAUGAUUAAAGAGUUUCACAAGAGAAAUAGUUUUCUUCUCGAAGAAAUAAUUAUAAUUUUUCGACGGAAUGAGAUGAGAUUACAUACUAAUGAAAGAAGUACUCAUCUAUUAUGACUAAGAAUUUUAUUGUAAUAGCUUGGGUGUGUCUAUCAACAAAUGUCUUGUAGACUUAGAAAUGAUGUAUGUAUUAAUUAGAGUUAUACUCUGAAAAAUAAAGAAUGAGAAAUAUCAUGGAUUUUCUUUGUAGAAAAAGGUGCAAUAUAAUGAGUGUGGAAUGCUUGUUGGCCACUGCAGUAUGAACUGAAGGUAGAUGAGAUUAGUUUACUAUGUAUCAGUUGAACUCUCUCUCUACUGAAUAAAAACAGUUUUGAGGAACCUGCCCUCACUCUUCUGCUAUGCUGUAAUUUUGAUGUAUGGGGACCAAAUGCUUUGGCAAUGUGGUUUGAUUUAUGGAACACCUUUGAUUCAAAGGGAGAUCAACUCAUCACUUCUGAAGGGAUAUUGGAAAGGGAUUCCUCUUUCUUCCCCAGAAACUUGAAUGCACAGCAUAUAGGUGAUGUCCAUCACAAUACAAACAUAUUGAAGUAUACAAAUCUAAGUGGUAUGGUUCAACAAUGGCAAUAAGCCAUAACAUUUCAUUGGAUGGGUCUUUUUAGGCUUAUGGAAGAUAAUAUUUUUAAUUAAAUUAAGAGCAUUCAAUAUUUAUUUGUAGAAGUUAUUAAAUAAGGUAAGUCAAUUGAAAUUAAUACUGCAAGGAGAAAUAGAA